GGCAAGGUGGCCGAGUGGUUAUGGCGGUAGACUCAAGCGCAUAGCUUCCCUGUGGUUAAACUCAGGAUUCUACUCUCGAAAGAGGCAGGGGUUCGAAUCCCCUUCUUGUCA